rnacentral:rRNA from 1 species
CCUACGGGUGGCAGCAGUGAGGAAUAUUGGUCAAUGGGCUUACGCCUGAACCAGCCAAGUCGCGUGAGGGAAGACUGCCCUAUGGGUUGUAAACCUCUUUUGUCAGGGAGCAACGCCGGCUACGUGUAGCCGGACUGAGAGUACCUGAAGAAAAAGCAUCGGCUAACUCCGUGCCAGCAGCCGCGGUAAUACGGAGGAUGCGAGCGUUAUCCGGAUUUAUUGGGUUUAAAGGGUGCGUAGGCGGAAUGCCAAGUCAGCGGUAAAAUCGCGGGGCUCAACCUCGCUCCGCCAUUGAAACUGGCGUGCUUGAGUGGGCGAGAAGUAUGCGGAAUGCGUGGGGUAGCGGUGAAAUGCAUAGAUAUCACGCAGAACUCCGAUUGCGAAGGCAGCAUACCGGCGCCCAACUGACGCUGAAGCACGAAAGCGUGGGUAUCGAACAGGAUUAGAUACCCCAGUAGUC